AGAGUUUGAUCAUGGCUCAGAUUGAACGCUGGCGGCAGGCCUAACACAUGCAAGUCGAACGGUAACAGAAAGCAGCUUGCUGCUUUGCUGACGAGUGGCGGACGGGUGAGUAAUGUCUGGGAAACUGCCCGAUGGAGGGGGAUAACUACUGGAAACGGUAGCUAAUACCGCAUAACGUCGCAAGACCAAAGAGGGGGACCUUAGGGCCUUUUGCCAUCGGAUGUGCCCAGAUGGGAUUAGCUAGUAGGUGGGGUAACGGCUCACCUAGGCGACGAUCCCUAGCUGGUCUGAGAGGAUGACCAGCCACACUGGAACUGAGACACGGUCCAGACUCCUACGGGAGGCAGCAGUGGGGAAUAUUGCACAAUGGGCGCAAGCCUGAUGCAGCCAUGCCGCGUGUAUGAAGAAGGCCUUCGGGUUGUAAAGUACUUUCAGCGGGGAGGAAGGGAGUAAAGUUAAUACCUUUGCUCAUUGACGUUACCCGCAGAAGAAGCACCGGCUAACUCCGUGCCAGCAGCCGCGGUAAUACGGAGGGUGCAAGCGUUAAUCGGAAUUACUGGGCGUAAAGCGCACGCAGGCGGUUUGUUAAGUCAGAUGUGAAAUCCCCGGGCUCAACCUGGGAACUGCAUCUGAUACUGGCAAGCUUGAGUCUCGUAGAGGGGGGUAGAAUUCCAGGUGUAGCGGUGAAAUGCGUAGAGAUCUGGAGGAAUACCGGUGGCGAAGGCGGCCCCCUGGACGAAGACUGACGCUCAGGUGCGAAAGCGUGGGGAGCAAACAGGAUUAGAUACCCUGGUAGUCCACGCCGUAAACGAUGUCGACUUGGAGGUUGUGCCCUUGAGGCGUGGCUUCCGGAGCUAACGCGUUAAGUCGACCGCCUGGGGAGUACGGCCGCAAGGUUAAAACUCAAAUGAAUUGACGGGGGCCCGCACAAGCGGUGGAGCAUGUGGUUUAAUUCGAUGCAACGCGAAGAACCUUACCUGGUCUUGACAUCCACGGAAGUUUUCAGAGAUGAGAAUGUGCCUUCGGGAACCGUGAGACAGGUGCUGCAUGGCUGUCGUCAGCUCGUGUUGUGAAAUGUUGGGUUAAGUCCCGCAACGAGCGCAACCCUUAUCCUUUGUUGCCAGCG
rnacentral:rRNA from 1 species